AUGCACUGUGCGGGAAUGGCGGGUCUCUUCUCUUCCCGAAGUGCAGAGCAGGCAGGCGCUGGCAGCGGGCUGUUUUCGGGACUGCUGACUCACCGGGGCUGUGUGGCGCACAGCCUCGGCCCUGAGCCCGCGGGACGGGUUAAACUGGCGCCACAUGAAGGAACUGAAAGGCAACUGAAUAAGGCUGGCCCGGUCUGCAGUCCAAAUGCAAGGAACUCAGAUCCAAGAUGGCUGGGCAAGGGAUUCACUGAGAACGAGCAAAUCUUGGACAGACUCUGCAAAAUGAGACUGGAAUUGGGUGUCCUACCACUACCACACAUGAGGGCUUCACUUCACUGGGGGAUAGCUGAUUCAGAGCACCAUGAGAUGGAGGUGCAAAAUCCACAGAUCCUUGUAUCCUCCUCUUUCUCGUUUUCUUGGCCACCUCGGGGAAGUCCUGUCUGUUAUCCAAGCUUGAACCCUCUGCUCCAGAGCAUGCUCAGCAGCGAGUAGCUUGCUAAAGUACCAGGUCUUGGGCGUCUCUACAGCCGGGAAGCUGCUGCCUCCCACUGCCUACAUCAGUGCCAGAGAUACUGUCUCCAUGGCAACAGAGAGCUUUUUUUGUUUUUCUGAUGAACAGUUUCAAGGAAUAGAAAAAAGCACAUCUGGAGUUGCCUUAUCAGCUGCUCCCUGCCCCCCUGCCUGCCAGAGUCAACAAGAGACAAUACCUCAGUUUUAGCAGACCUGGGCUGAACAUCCCAGGAGACAGAAUGAAAGCAAGUGAGGUGUACAAGAGAGAGGAGUGUAUUAUUGAUUUAAGGAUGGCUUUGGGUUGGUUACCUUACUGUUUUCAUGUUAGGGGCUUUUCAUGGGAGUAGCUCAACCACACGAGCCUGCUGUGUAUUUUCUAUCUGUUAUGUGUUGCUGAACAUCUGAGCAGGACUCACUUUUGUAUCCCUCAUUCAUAAAGGCAGUUUCUAAGUUUCUAAGCCGUUUGUUCAGCCGUACUUUUCUUAUGGGAUAGAAAAUUCUUACGUAUUUUUUGGGAGUCAGUGCUUCAAAAAAGUUCUUUAGAAUUGUCAUUAUUUUCACUUUCUGUGUCUAGUUCUAGGAACAAGUGUUUUGCCACUGUUGUCUGCUGUGUAAGAAAGCCUCUUUUUUACAAAGAGAAGCCAUUUCUUAAUGGCUUCUGGGUUAUCAAACAGGAAAGCUGUUACUGUCAUAUAUAACCCACUGUAUGUGGUUUCUUUAACUUCUUCGACUCUUAUGGAUCAUUUUUUGGUCUGUUCUCAGAAAGGAGAUCAGGUGAUCCUGUUCCUUCCCUGCCUCACACCAUCCUCUUUUGAAUACAGCAGUUCUAGCAGACAAUUUAACAAAGAGGUGAUGCUGGCUGGCUGUGUCCAGCACAGGAAGAGGCAGAGGAAUUGGGCUCCCUGCCAUCAACCUCUAACUUCAGCAGGCGGGAUGUGGGAAAAAGCAAAACCCAACCCCAGCCAAAUAAAGCUGGCCUGCAAAAGACCUUCAUUCCUGAAGAAUUUUUGAAUUAAAUACUGGCUACAGCCAGCCAGAUUCCACUGAAAAUGACUAUGUCAACUGGUUUUAAAUAACAGUCUUUCAUGUAUGUGCUUUUUAUGUUUCUUCCUAUUGUCUGUUGAUUUCCCCAUAGACACCGAC
rnacentral:lncRNA from 1 species